rnacentral:rRNA from 1 species
AUGAACGCUGGCGGCGUGCCUAAUACAUGCAAGUCGAGCGAACAGAUGAGGAGCUUGCUCCUCUGACGUUAGCGGCGGCCGGGUGAGUAACACGUGGAUAACCUACCUAUAAGACUGGGAUAACUUCGGGAAACCGGAGCUAAUCCCGGAUAAUAUAUUGAACCGCAUGGUUCAAUAGUGAAAGACGGUUUUGCUGGCACUUAUAGAUGGAUCCGCGCCGCAUUAGCUAGUUGGUACGGUAACGGCUUACCAAGGCAACGAUGCGUAGCCGACCUGAGAGGGUGAUCGGCCACACUGGAACUGAGCCACGGACCAGACUCCUACGGGAGGCAGCAGUAGGGAAUCUUCCGCAAUGGGCGAAAGCCUGACGGAGCAGCGCCGCGUGAGUGAUGAAGGUCUUCGGAUCGUAAAACUCUGUUAUUAGGGAAGAACAAAUGUGUAAGUAACUAUGCACGUCUUGACGGUACCUAAUCAGAAAGCCACGGCUAACUACGUG